AGGGUCACCUGGCCGGCCACAUCAAUGAUGUGGAACAGGCACAGGGGCCCUUUUCUUCUGGGGAGGCUGUUUGCCCUUUACUGGGUGAGCAGUUGAGCCAGAGCUUUACCUUGAAAAAAUCAGAGCGUUCAAAGCAGGCGUUUGCUCGAAUGCAUUAGCAUGGAAUAAUAAAAUAGGACCGUGGUUCUAUUUUGUUGGUUUAUAGGACCAAGGUA
rnacentral:rRNA from 1 species